CUUGUAGAGAGGGCUAAAUUUGUAGCAGUGCCAGAAGACUGCAGACCCAGUAAACAGACUGAAAGUCACCUUCAUAGGAGAAGCUGCCAUUGACACAGGGGCAAUGAGGAAGGAGGUCCUGUCUGAGAUGGUUGCUGGGAUAGAGACACGCCUCUUUGAAGGGAGAAGGGGAAGAUCCCAAAAUACAGUGAGCUGCUGGUGAAAUAUGGGCCGCCAAGGUGGGCCGCCUCCACGUAUCUUUCAGAAGUGGCGUUACCAAAUCCUGGUGACUGGGUCGCUUUAAGGACAUCACAAAAGAUAAUAUCCAUGAUGAAGACUCAUCCACAU